UACGUAGGUGACAAGCGUUGUCCGGAUUUACUGGGCGUAAAGAGCGCGCAGGCGGUCGAUCAAGUCGAGUGUGAAAGCCCCCGGCUCAACUGGGGAGGGUCAUUCGAUACUGAUCGACUCGAAGGCAGGAGAGGGUAGUGGAAUUCCCGGUGUAGUGGUGAAAUGCGUAGAUAUCGGGAGGAACACCGAUGGCGAAGGCAAUCCCCUGGACCUGUACUGACGCUCAUGCACGAAAGCGUGGGGAGCAAACAGG
rnacentral:rRNA from 1 species